rnacentral:rRNA from 1 species
UCGAACGGCAGCACAGUUCUAGUUUACUAGAAUGGGUGGCGAGUGGCGGACGGGUGAGUAACGCGUAGGAAUCUACCCAAAAGUGGGGGACAACUCGAGGAAACUCGAGCUAAUACCGCAUACGCCCUACGGGGCAAAGCCGGGGACCUUCGGGCCUGGCGCUUUUGGAUGAGCCUGCGUUGGAUUAGCUAGUUGGUAGGGUAAAGGCCUACCAAGGCUACGAUCCAUAGCUGGUCUGAGAGGAUGACCAGCCACACUGGGACUGAGACACGGCCCAGACUCC